rnacentral:rRNA from 1 species
AUCAACUUUCGAUGGUAGGAUAGAGGCCUACCAUGGUGGUAACGGGUAACGGGGUGUUAGGGCACGACACCGGAGAGGGAGCCUGAGAAACGGCUACCACAUCCAAGGAUGGCAGCAGGCGCGCAAAUUACCCAAUCCCGACACGGGGAGGUAGUGACAAUAAAUAACAAUACGGGGCUCUUUCGGGUCUCGUAAUUGGAAUGAGUACAAUUUAAAUCCCUUAACGAGGAACAAUUGGAGGGCAAGUCUGGUGCCAGCAGCCGCGGUAAUUCCAGCUCCAAUAGCGUAUAUUAAAGUUGCUGCAGUUAAAAAGCUCGUAGUUGAAUUUCGGGACCGAUAUAUCGGUCGUGCCUCGGUACGUACUGGUAUUUUCGGUUUCUACCUUCUGACGAACCUUGAUGUCAUUAAUUUGGUGUCUUGGGAAAUCAGGACUGUUACUUUGAAAAAAUUAGAGUGUUUAAAGCAGGCUCACGCUUGAAUACAUUAGCAUGGAAUAAUGAAAUAGGACGUUUGAUUCUAUUUUGUUGGUUUCUAGGAUCGACGUAAUGAUUAAUAGGGAUAGUUGGGGGCAUUAGUAUUCAAUUGUCAGAGGUGAAAUUCUUGGAUUUAUUGAAGACUAACUACUGCGAAAGCAUUUGCCAAGGAUGUUUUCAUUAAUCAAGAACGAAAGUUAGGGGAUCGAAGACGAUCAGAUACCGUCGUAGUCUUAACCAUAAACUAUGCCGACUAGGGAUCGGAUGAUGUUAAUUUUUUAAUGACUCAUUCGGCGCCUUACGGGAAACCAAAGUGUUUGGGUUC